GGGAAAACAAACAAACAAACAAACAAACAAAUAAAUGGUUCCAGCUGAUUUAGAGAAAUCGGUGAGUAGAAACUUAACAGCAAAGUUUUGUUACCGUUACGCAAGAUAUUAUUUUUUGACAGUUCCAGGGGGAGCAUCGAGAUAACUUUCCACGAACGCUCCACCAGAUGACCGUCUGUGAACAGAUUGCUGUGGAAUGCAAGGACGAUCGAGAAGUCUCUGUACACACAGAUCGCUGUGGAAUGCAAGGACGAUCGAGAAGUCUCUGCACACACAGAUAAAGAAGACAAAGGGGAACAUCUUGAUGUCUGUCACAUUCCAGGCAUUCCGUUGUAGUUUUUUUCCUGUCCCAAAUGGCAGGGUUUGAGUAGGCAAGAAGGUGCAUCCUACUGGUAAG
rnacentral:lncRNA from 1 species